UUUGAUUGAAGAUUUAAGGUUUAUGUUUGUAAGUUAUAACUUAACAAUAAAACACUAAAUUUUAAGUUUAAUUUUAAUAUUAUAGGUUAUGGUCUGAAAAAAAUAGAGUUUUAAUUAUUAUUUUUUUUUGUAACACAAAUUAGAGUUUUAGUUAUGUUUUGAGUUUAGGGGUUAAAACAUACUUAGUGUUUUGGAGUUAAAUUUUAUAAUGAAGAUUAAAAAAAUAAAUUAUAAAGUUAUAAAGUUAUAAUUUUUUAAAGUUUGAUAAUUACAAAUGUUCAUUUUGAAAUCUACUAUAAGUGUUGGAUGUUGAAAUUUAAGGCAUGUUUAGGGUUUAGAUGAGGUGAUUUUUUUUUUUCUAAUUUAUUAUCAGUAUUAGAUUUUCUUUUUAUCAUAUUACUAGUUGUGCUAUCUUAGGAUUUUAUGAUGAAAUAUUCACAAUUUAGGAUUUAGGGCAUGUUUAGGGUAUAGAAUUUGAAAUAAAAAAUUCUUUUUUUUUUCAAAUUUAUUAUUGUUGAAAUGUUAAUUGUCACAUAAAUUGUAGUGCAAAAUGUAAAUCAAAACAUUGCAAUUUGAUAUAUAUAUAAGAAAUUAUAUUUCAUUAAUUUUUCAAAACAUAAAUUAUUUCAUUUGCUAAGUCUAGGAACUUCAUCUACGAACCAAUGUCUCAACAAGCUUUAACAUAUCAAAAUUAAAAUCAAAGAAACCUAAAUCAUUCUUUGAAGUGAAUGCAAGUCUUUGUGGUCUUCCUCUCAUGGAAAGUUGCUUUGAGACUAACGCACUGCCAAUACAACAACACUAGAAGCAAGCACAAAGAAGAAAGUGAUCAUACAAUCCCCAACGUGUUCUUCUUCUCAAGUACAUUUGAAGUCAGGACAAACCGAGAGGAUGACGAUAAGAAUCCGAAUGCACGGUCGCAGCCUUCACAAUCUCAGCCCGACACCGAGACCCGGCAGUGAAGAUGCUCUGGAGCAAGGAUUCCAUUUUCUGUACUCUGGCACUCGCAACCCUUGAAGCUUCGUCACUCUGUACUCUGGCACUCGCAACCCUUGAAGCUUCGUCACUCAUCAGGCUCUACACCAUUCCAACUGAAUCAAUACCUAGCAGCCUUUAAGAUGGGUUCAGUCAUCUGAAACAAAUAUGAAACUUAAACUCAGUAAUAAGAGCUACGAUCAGAUUCAGAGAAAGACAAAUAAGAUCUCACCACAAGCUAUCAAACUGCAGUUUCAAUACAGUCCAGUCACAGCAAAAGGCGAUUCAGACACAAGACAAGCUCCUCAGAUGCAAGUAACUCACCAAACAGCAACAGGUCUUGUGUAUGAGAAUGCACUCUCGAAGAAAGAAGAAAUAAACAUGCAUACCUGAUAAUUAAGAGAAACAUAAGCUUUAAAAUUUGUUCAGACAUGAGCUUUAAAAUUGUUCUAAACUAAAGGAACGAACUUUGGCCAUCAUCAAUAAACCGAACAGCUUUACGCUCACGCUCCCUAACAUAAAAAAUCAGCAUAAACUAAUGCUUACAAUGAUACUAAAACUGUUUCUUAGACAGAGAUAUUCAUACAAAACAUAACUCAUUUUCUUGGGCAAGAUAUAUACGAUCCCAAACAUCCAUAGAAACAGAGACGAACACAAUGAAAAGCAAUGCCAAAUGCUUCGGCCUUUUGAGAUGAUACGCUGGAUUCAUAUAUCUACAUAGCCCAAAACCAGUUAUCCAUCUACCUCUUGCAAACAAAUCCAAAUUCCACUCAGAUACAAACAUCAUAAGCCUGAGACUGUGUUCAUGCUUAGAGGGUCAACACUCGAUUUUUUAAGCCAUCUUCAACACAAGAGCCAAAAGAAAAGAGUCUUAGCUCAGAAGCAACAGGUUACCCGAAAUUAAACUUCACAACAAUUUCCUUAAUCUCAUCGUCAAAACCAUCUUCAAACUCGGGUUGCUCUGGAAACAAAGAUCAGAAAUCACAAACCCUAGAAAAUCUCCUUGGAACCAGAAGCACCAGAAAUGUCUGAUUCUUCUACAAAAGAAACAGAGUAGCUAAAAGAAAAUGUGAGACCAAAUCUAAGGGAGAAAAACUAUGGAAAGCCUCAAAGAUUCAAGCUUUAGCUUAUAAACAUAAAAGAGAUGUUACCAGGCUUGCAGAAAGGCAGCCGAUGUUACCGUCACUGAAACUCCGUCAGCAUCUCCGCCGUGGCUCCGUCUCCUCCUCCGUUAAUACUCUUCAAUCCCUAGAUUUAGUUUCACUGAUUCGAUUUCAGUAAAUCGAUUAAAGGGAAACUUAGAGAAACAGAUGACCCAUAAUAGAUGAAGAUGGAUGAUGAAGAAGCUCGAUUGAAGCAAUGGAGAGAAGUUUAUUCUUUUUUGUCACGAAUGGAGAAGAAGAUAAAAUAGAGAAUGGAGGUUUUUUUUCUUCUGAAGAAAAAAAAAUGAAAAGACCUAGAGAAAAAAAAAUAGUUCUACUAAAACAAAAUAUUUUGGUGGCAAAAGUGAUAUUUUCACUAAGUAUUUGGCACCAAUGAAUUUUACAAGUAUAAAAAUUGGAUUUUUGUCUUCCCGCUUCGUAAAAAUCCUGCAAAAUACUAAGUAGCGUUGAUUUAAUGCUAUAAUAGAGUUAAACAUCCAAACUACCCAUUUUUAGUAGCAGUUUGUGAAUUCGUGCUACCGUGAUGUGCUAUCAAUACUUAUAUUUCUUGUAGUGUUAUUAGAGUAUACUAGCUGUUUCUGAUGAUACAGGUAUCUAAUAUCAUGUUUGGUUCCUGGGAGCUAUCCUGAAACAAAUUUUCAUCAUUUACAAACAUGUUUAGUUUGCAACACUCUCUUUAUUGUAAAAGUGUCCUGAAAAUUUCUUGAUAGGAUAUCAACAAUUCUUUAUUAAUUGGCUCAUUAUCUUUUAAAUUUCUAAUAUUUAGAAGUACUAUAAAUGAAAUAAAAAAAUCUGUUGCUGUUCUGAUUUGGUUCUUUGGUUUAAAAGUUUAGCAUCGGUUUGGAUAUUUAGAAAAUUCAGUUUGGUUUCGGUUCUCGGUUCGUUUUAGGUAACAAAGUUAGGAGCCAACUAAUAUCCAAAAUAAUUUGGAUCCUAUUAAGUUCUUGUUCGUUCCGGUUUUUUAGUUAAUUCAAGUAAAAAGUUAGAAAUUUAAGUUUUUUGAUUAAAUAUCAGAUUUUUUGUAUUUUUGGAUAAAAGUUUAGAUAAUUCGAAUAUUUUUUAAAAAUUCUGACAAAAAGUAUUAUGGUUAUUCAAUUUUUUGAGUAUUCCAGCUUAUAAAAAGUAUUUUUCAAUUAUUUUAUUAUUUUUAAAAUAAAUAUAGUUAAUAUUUAUAAGUGUAUAAAUUAUAUUAUAGAAAUUUUGGUAGUGAUUCGGUUCUUGAUUUGGUUUUAGUUUGGUUCCCGAUCAGCUCUGGUUUUCAAGAUAUAUGAUCUUUUUGGAUAAUUUGUAAGAUCUAAACUUGAACUUACUCACAGCUUCAGAAAGUGUUUGAGCAUGUGGUAAUUAAAUAAAAAUUUAUUACCGUUGUUUCAUCUAUAUGAUGUUUUGACGACUCUAACAUGUUCUGUGUAUAGUGAAACCGUCUUGUGUUUUUGCACAUCGUCCAAGUCCCUUCCACGCCCUCUUCCUCUAUCCCUUCCACUCGGUUACACUUGCCCUGUCUCCUGCUGCAGUGACCACGCAAUAGGGAAACCAUCACAUCAAGCGAUUAAACAAAAGUAAGACUUCUCUUAAUUUCUUGGGCAAGCAAGGCUCAACGGUUGCUUGUUCCAAAAGAGAGACAAAAUAGCCAAGGGAUAUAACACCAUCUACAUUGAUUUCUUUAGCUCCUCAUCGCUGUCAUUAGCUUCAUCACCCGUAGGCUCCCUGGCUAAUCAGAACAGAAAAUCAGGUUGACAAAGGAGUCCAGAAACAUGAACCAAGAACAUGGAAAGCAAAUAAUUAAUUAAAAGUUUUGUAUGUGUCUACACACAUUUUUGUAGCAACUUUUCUCUGAUUUGCUUCUUGUGAACCGGUAAUUUUUUCUACUUCUGCUACUUUAUAUUAUCCUUCUGAGCAUUCACUAAAUUUACCAACUGAGACGUACCUGUUGUAAUUGACCAUUCAAGAGCAAUGGUUCCUAUGAAACGUUGUAACCACUUCUAUGUAAUUGGGACCUGCAUUAAUUAAGGUGAAACCUCUGAUAUUAGCAAUAUGAGUUUUGGAGAGGUAUUAGAGAAGAACUAGAAGGGAGGAGACUUCUUCGAGGCAGGAUAAGAGGGGAUUUUUAUAACAAUAUAUCAACUAUUUUGAUGAAAAAAUAUAAACAAUUUAUCUCUUCCUUUACAGUUGAUCAAAGUUAUCUAGGCAAGGUCUAUAUUCGAUACUUCCCUCAGAGAAAGAUCUGCACUGAAAUAAGGAAUGGCUUUUAGAUUUCAAUAACCUUUUAUUGAGCUUUUCAAGAGCAUUUUUUUCUUUAUUUCACUGUGUAGAUGUCUGUUUUGUUCUUGCCGACUUACCAUCUAUCUUUUAUUAAUUCAAAUAUUUUUUUUGCUAUGUAUGUUAAUAUCAUAUAAAUGGAAAAAGAGCUUACAAGAAUAGUAGUCCUAAGAACAUACUUCCAAGGCAAAAAAGGUAAAAACAAGCAAAUAAUGUAGAAUUACCUUACAGAAAGAGAUUUACUAAACUAGCCAAUGAGACAGAAGAUUUUGGGACUUCCUUCGGUUCUUUGGCCCAAGGAUUAUACUCCGCACCUCUCAGUCAAUUAACCUGAACACAAUGUUCCGUGGGAUGAAGAUUAAUUUGAUUAUACACCAGCUUAUUCGCUGACGCCAUAUCCGAUGAAUAACAGAAUGAGUGAUGAUCUUCCUUAUAGUCGAAACUAUAGUUUUAUUGCAUGUAAAUGUUGAAGAAAUAUUUUUCAAGAGAUGGGAAACAUGAAACUAUAGUUAUAUUGCAUGCAAGCAGAUUGCCACUGAUGCGUACAUGAGUUGUCCAAACUGUGGCGGACCCGCUUGGUCAAAUGACUGACCCAUCAUAAACUUAAAAGAAAUUGUAUUUUUUAGAGGAAAUUACAUAUUUACCACUUUCAUGCUAUCACUUUUCAUUUAUACCACCAAUAAAGAGAAAUUUUCAAAAAUACCUUCUUCACUAAUUGGCAAAAGACUCUUAUGCCCAUGUUCUUUAUAUAUAUAAUAAAUAAAUAUUUAAAUAAAUAAAAAUCUAAAUAAAUAAAAAAUAAUUUUUUUAAAUUUUUUUCUGAAUUAUACUAUUUCGAAAUUCAAACCCUAAACCCUAAAACUCAACUCUAAACCCUAAACAAUCAAUCAUAAACCCUAUUUUUUCUGAAAUACGAACCCUAAACCCUAAACCAUCAAUCCUAACCCUAUUUUUUUUUAAAUAAACCCUGAAACAUCAACUCUAAACUCUAAACCCCGAAGCAUCAACUCUAAACCCUAAACCCUAAACCUUCAACUCUAAACCCUAAAGCAUCAACUCUAAACACUAAACCCUAAACCCUAAACCUUCAACUCUAAACCCAAAACCAUCAACACUAAACCCUAAACUAUCAACACUAAACCCUAAACCCUAAAAAGUAAACUCUAAACCCUAAACCCUAAAUAAUUAACCAUAAACCCUAAAACAUCAACUCUAAACCCUAAACCCUAAACCCUAAACCUUCAACUCUAAACCCUAAACACAUCAACUCUAAACCCUAAACCCUAAAUUUCAACUCUAAACCCUAAACCAUCAACACUAAACCCUAAACUAUCAACACUAAACCCUAAAUCCUAAAAAGUAAACUCUAAACCCUAAACCCUAAAAAAUUAACCCUAAGCCCUAAAACAUCAACUCUAAACCCUAAACCCUAAACCUUCAACUCUAAACCCUAAACCCUAAACCCUAAACCCUUAAACCCUAAAGUUGAUGUUUUACGGUUUAGAUUUGAAGAUUUAGGGUUUAGGGUUUACGUUUAGGGUUUAGAGUUAAUGUUUUAGGGUUUAGAUUUGAAGGUUUAGGGUUUAGGGUUCAAAUUUCAGAAAAUAUAAGGUUUAGGGUUUAGGAUUUACGCUUAGAGUUUAGAGUUGAUGUUUUAGGGUUUUGAUUUGAAGAUUUAGGGUUUAGAGUUGAUGUUUCAGGGUGUAGGGUUUAGAGUUGAUGUUUCAUGGUUUAGGGUUUAGAGUUGAUGAUUUAGGGUUUAAAGUUAAUGUUUUAAGUUUAGAUUUAGGGUUUAGGGUUUACGUUUAGGGUUUAUAGUUGAUGUUUUUGGGUUUAGAUUUGAAGUUUUAAGGUUUAGUUUAGGGUUUAGAGUUGAUGUUUUAGAGUUUAGAUUUGAAGUUUUAGGGUUUAGGGUUUAGAGUUGAUGUUUCGGGGUUUAGGGUUUAGAGUUGAUGUUUCAUGGUUUAGGGUUUAGAGUCGAUGAUUUAGGGUUUAGAGUUGAUGUUUUAAGUUUAGAUUAGUUAACCAUAUGUAUUUUUUUUGUGAAAGGUAAUCAAAAGGUUAUAAAUGU
rnacentral:lncRNA from 1 species